rnacentral:rRNA from 1 species
UACGUAGGGUGCAGGCGUUAAUCGGAAUUACUGGGCGUAAAGCGUGCGCAGGCGGUUUGCUAAGACAGGUGUGAAAUCCCCGGGCUUAACCUGGGAACUGCAUUGGUGACUGGCGGGCUAGAGUAUGGCAGAGGGGGGUAGGAAUUCCACGUGUAGCAGUGAAAUGCGUAGAGAUGUGGAGGAAUACCGAUGGCGAAGGCAGCCCCCUGGGCCAAUACUGACGCUCAUGCACGAAAGCGUGGGGAGCAAACAGG